GGCGGCGCGGCGGCAGCAGCAGAAAGCGCAGCUGCUCGCCUGUAGUCCACGCCCCCUCCCCGCCCCGGUGACAGUCUCUGCGGAAAGUCGCGUUUGUGAUUUCUGGAGAGCACCGAGCGGGACUACGGAGGUGCUGCCUGGUCGUUGGGGCCAAGUGACGAGGAAACGCUUUCCUGGCGAACAGCCCCUCCCCACCCCCGCCGCCCUUAGCCCGCACCUUCAGGGUCUGAAGAUGCUGAGCUCUAUGUGGAAUUUUCUAAAACGUCACAAAAAGAAAUGCAUCUUCCUGGGCACAGUGCUCGGAGGAGUAUAUAUCCUGGGAAAAUAUGGACAGAAGAAAAUCAGAGAAAUACAAGAAAGAGAGGCUGCAGAAUACAUUGCUCAAGCACGACGACAGUAUCAUUUUGAAAGUAACCAGAGGACUUGCAAUAUGACCGUGCUGUCCAUGCUUCCAACCCUGAGAGAGGCCUUAAUGCAGCAACUCAAUUCCGAGAGCCUCACGGCUCUGCUAAAAAACAGGCCUUCAAACAAGUUAGAAAUAUGGGAGGAUCUAAAGAUAAUAAGUUUCACAAGAAGUAUCGUAGCAGUGUACAGUACUUGUAUGCUGGUUGUUCUUUUGCGAGUCCAGUUAAACAUAAUUGGUGGAUAUAUUUACCUGGAUAAUGCAGCAGUUGGCAAAAAUGGCACUACAGUUCUUGCUCCCCCAGAUGUCCAACAGCAGUAUUUAUCAAGUAUUCAACACCUCCUUGGAGAUGGCCUGACAGAAUUGAUCACUGUCAUUAAACAAGCUGUGCAGAAGAUUUUAGGAAGUGUUUCUCUUAAACAUUCUUUGUCCCUCUUGGACGUGGAGCAAAAACUAAAAGAGAUCCGAGAUCUCGUGGAGCAGCAUAAAUCUUCUUCUUGGGUUAAUAAAGACGGAUCCAAAUCUUUGUUAUGCCAUUAUAUGAUGCCAGAUGAAGAAACUCCAUUAGCAGUUCAGGCCUGUGGGCUUUCUCCUAGAGAUGUCACCACUAUUAAACUACUCAAUGAAACCAGAGACAUGUUGGAAAGUCCAGAUUUUAGUACAGUUUUGAAUACAUGUUUAAACCGAGGUUUUAGCAGACUGCUAGACAACAUGGCUGAGUUCUUUCGACCUACUGAACAGGAACUGCAGCGUAGCAACUCCAUGAGUAGUCUUUCCAGUGUCAGCCUGCCAUUAGCUAAGAUAAUUCCAAUAGUAAAUGGACAGAUCCAUUCAGUUUGCAGUGAAACACCUAGUCAUUUUGUUCAGGAUCUGUUGAUGAUGGAGCAAGUGAAAGACUUUGCUGCUAAUGUGUAUGAAGCUUUUAGUACUCCUCAGCAACUGGAGAAAUGAUUUCUUUUCCUUCAAGAAAAACUACAAUGGAAUUCAUUUACUUUUAAAAAUACACUGAAUGAAUCAACUAUAUAUAGGCAGUAUUAACCCAGGAUUUCAUCCAAGGAAUAUUUGAGACUGAACAGGUGUGGCCUUGUAAAAAAAAAAAAAAAAAAAA